AGAGUUUGAUCCUGGCUCAGAUUGAACGCUGGCGGAACGCUUUACACAUGCAAGUCGAACGGUAACGUGGGGAGGAGCUUGCUCCACCCCGACGACGAGUGGCGAACGGGUGAGUAAUACAUCGGAACGUGUCCGCUCGUGGGGGACAACCAGCCGAAAGGUUGGCUAAUACCGCAUGAGUUCUACGGAAGAAAGAGGGGGACCCGCAAGGGCCUCUCGCGAGCGGAGCGGCCGAUGACUGAUUAGCCGGUUGGUGAGGUAACGGCUCACCAAAGCAACGAUCAGUAGCUGGUCUGAGAGGACGACCAGCCACACUGGGACUGAGACACGGCCCAGACUCCUACGGGAGGCAGCAGUGGGGAAUUUUGGACAAUGGGCGCAAGCCUGAUCCAGCUAUUCCGCGUGUGGGAUGAAGGCCCUCGGGUUGUAAACCACUUUUGUAGAGAACGAAAAGACAUCUUCGAAUAAAGGAUGUUGCUGACGGUACUCUAAGAAUAAGCACCGGCUAACUACGUGCCAGCAGCCGCGGUAAUACGUAGGGUGCGAGCGUUAAUCGGAAUUACUGGGCGUAAAGGGUGCGCAGGCGGUUGAGUAAGACAGAUGUGAAAUCCCCGAGCUUAACUCGGGAAUGGCAUAUGUGACUGCUCGACUAGAGUGUGUCAGAGGGAGGUGGAAUUCCACGUGUAGCAGUGAAAUGCGUAGAUAUGUGGAAGAACACCGAUGGCGAAGGCAGCCUCCUGGGACAUAACUGACGCUCAGGCACGAAAGCGUGGGGAGCAAACAGGAUUAGAUACCCUGGUAGUCCACGCCCUAAACGAUGGAUACUAAACGUGGGAGGUAUCGACUCCUUCCGUGUUGAAGCAAACGCGAUAAGUAUCCCGCCUGAGGAGUACGGUCGCAAGAUUA
rnacentral:rRNA from 1 species